rnacentral:rRNA from 1 species
AACGCUGGCGGCGCGCCUAACACAUGCAAGUCGCACGAGAAAGCGGGAGCAAUCUCGCAAGUACAGUGGCGUACGGGUGAGUAACACGUGGAUCAUCUGCCCUGGAGUGGGGAAUAACGCUGGGAAACCGGCGCUAAUACCGCAUAUUCCCGAGAGGGGAAAGCAGCAAUGCGCUCGAGGAGGAGUCCGCGGCCGAUUAGCUAGUUGGUAGGGUAAAAGCCUACCAAGGCUGUGAUCGGUAGCCGGCCUGAGAGGGCACACGGCCACACUGGCACUGAAACACGGGCCAGACUCCUACGGGAGGCAGCAGUGGGGAAUCUUGCACAAUGGGGGAAACCCUGAUGCAGCGACGCCGCGUGAGCGAUGAAGCCCUUCGGGGUGUAAAGCUCUUUCGGCAGGGAAGAUUAUGACGGUACCUGCAGAAGCAGCUGCGGCUAACUACGUGCCAGCAGCCGCGGUAAUACGUAGGCAGCAAGCGUUGUUCGGAGUUACUGGGCGUAAAGGGUGUGUAGGCGGCCUGUUAAGUUCCGUGUGAAAUCUCCCGGCUCAACCGGGAGGGUGCGCGGAAAACUGGCGGGCUAGAGUGUGGGAUGGGAGAGUAGAAUUCCUGGUGUAGCGGUGAAAUGCGUAGAUAUCAGGAGGAAUACCGGUGGUGUAGACGGCUCUCUGGACCGCAACUGACGC